CCUACGGGAGGCAGCAGUGGGGAAUCUUGCGCAAUGGGCGAAAGCCUGACGCAGCCAUGCCGCGUGAAUGAUGAAGGUCUUAGGAUUGUAAAAUUCUUUCACCGGGGACGAUAAUGACGGUACCCGGAGAAGAAGCCCCGGCUAACUUCGUGCCAGCAGCCGCGGUAAUACGAAGGGGGCUAGCGUUGCUCGGAAUUACUGGGCGUAAAGGGAGCGUAGGCGGAUAGUUUAGUCAGAGGUGAAAGCCCAGGGCUCAACCUUGGAAUUGCCUUUGAUACUGGCUAUCUUGAGUAUGGGAGAGGUAUGCGGAACUCCGAGUGUAGAGGUGAAAUUCGUAGAUAUUCGGAAGAACACCAGUGGCGAAGGCGGCAUACUGGCCCAUUACUGACGCUGAGGCUCGAAAGCGUGGGGAGCAAACAGGAUUAGAUACCCUGGUAGUCCACGCUAGUAAACGAUGAGUGCUAGUUGUCGGCAUGCAUGCAUGUCGGUGACGCAGCUAACGCAUUAAGCACUCCGCCGUGGGGAGUACGGUCGCAUGAUUAAAACGUCAAAGGAAUUGACGG
rnacentral:rRNA from 1 species